rnacentral:tRNA from 1 species
GCCAGUGUGGCUCAGUGUUAGAGCGUCUGACCGAGCACUGGAGGGUCUCAGGUUCGAUACCCUGUCAAGAGCACAUACCUGAGUUGCAGGUUCAAUCCCUGCCCCUGGUU